GACGAACGCUGGCGGCGUGCCUAAUACAUGCAAGUUGAGCGCUGAAGGUUGGUACUUGUACCAACUGGAUGAGCAGCGAACGGGUGAGUAACGCGUGGGGAAUCUGCCUUUGAGCGGGGGACAACAUUUGGAAACGAAUGCUAAUACCGCAUAAAAACUUUAAACACAAGUUUUAAGUUUGAAAGAUGCAAUUGCAUCACUCAAAGAUGAUCCCGCGUUGUAUUAGCUAGUUGGUGAGGUAAAGGCUCACCAAGGCGAUGAUACAUAGCCGACCUGAGAGGGUGAUCGGCCACAUUGGGACUGUGACACGGCCCAAACUCCUACGGGAGGCAGCAGUAGGGAAUCUUCGGCAAGGGACGAAAGUCUGACCGAGCAACGCCGCGGGAGGGAAGAAGGUUGUCGGAUCGUAAAACUCUGUUGGUAGAGAAGAACGUUGGUGAGAGUGGAAAGCUCAUCAAGUGACGGUAACUACCCAGAAAGGGACGGCUAACUACGUG
rnacentral:rRNA from 1 species